rnacentral:piRNA from 1 species
UGGACAAUAAACCUGAGAGGGCCUUC